rnacentral:piRNA from 1 species
AGCAAAUGAUGUAAAAACUGACA